AGACCGAUAGCGAACAAGUAGAGUGAUCGAAAGAUGAAAAGCACUUUGAAAAGAGGGUUAAAAAGUACGUGAAAUUGUUGAAAGGGAAGCGCCUGUGACCAGACUUGCGCCUCGCGGACCACCCGGCGUUCUCGCCGGUGCACUCUGCGUGGCGCAGGCCAGCAUGCGGUUCUCCCAGGGGGACAAAGGCCGCGGGAACGUAGCUCCUUCCGGGAGUGUUAUAGCCCGCGGCGGCAUGCCCCUGGGGGGACCGAGGACCGCGCUUCGGCAAGGAUGCUGGCGUAAUGGUCACCAGCNACCCGUCUUGAAACACGGACCAAG
rnacentral:rRNA from 1 species